ACCGUCCCACUGCUCAUAACUGGUCAUCAGUCAUCAGCUGUUGAUUUCCUGCUUCAGGCUGUCUGACUAAAACACAAUUAGGACCCGACAAGUUGCCAGGAAAACUUGAAUGCUUGUCAUUUAUCCAAAGCUUUAAUUUCAAACGUGUUUUUUUUUUUUUGUACUGUUAGCUAGGAAAAAUGUGUAACGUCCGCCAAGUAGAGCAUGGAUGAAGCAAACACAUAAUGUUCCCUCCUACCCUCCAUGAGGUGGUUAGCCUCUGUAAUACAGAACGAAGUGAAACAACAAGAUGAAACAGUUCUGGAACAAUAGUCGUCCUUCAGCUCGGGCCGUGGCUCCAUCGGUCUGGGCCAACGCCGGACAACCACAUGGUGAUUAAUGAGUUUUGGCUCUUUAGCCUUUUAAUUUUUUUUUUAACGAUAAAUAAAUGUCUACUGUUAAUAUGAACACAAUGAUCUGCAGUUAACAACGACAUUAAUAAAAUCCCCACUGUUAAAGGAAAUUCACAGCCUGAAAUAUUUGGUAUUAUUUAUUACCGAAGGCGUUUGACCCAGGUUUACAUGGGCAAUGACAUAUUUGUAAUAGUUGGGGUAGAGUAGUGGUACAGGGGCUGUUUAGACAGUAAUUAAUGGGGGUAGACUUCUGGUCCAGGGGCUGUUUAGACAGUAAUUAAUGGGGGUAGACUAGUGGUCCAGGGGCUGUUUAGACAGUAAUGAAUGGGGGUAGAGUAGGGGUCCAGGGGCUGUUUAGACAGUAAUUAAUGGGGGUAGAGUAGUGGUCCAGGGGCUGUUCAGACAGUAAUUAAUGGGGGUAGACUAGUGGUACAGGGGCUGUUUAGACAGUAAUUAAUGGGGGUAGAGUAGUGGUCCAGGGGCUGUUUAGACAGUAAUUAAUGGGGGUAAACUAGUGGUCCAGGGGCUGUUUAGACAGUAAUUAAUGGGGGUAGACUAGUGGUACAGGGGCUGUUUAGACAGUAAUUAAUGUGGGUAGACUAUUGGUACAGGGGCUCUGUCUGUUUAGACAGUAAUCAAUGUGGGGUAGAUUAGUGGUACAGGGGCUGUUUAGACAGUAAUUAAUGGGGUAGAGUAGUGGUACAGGGGCUGUUUAGACAGUAAUUAAUGGGGGUAGACUAGUGGUACAGGGGCUGUUUAGACAGUAAUUAAUGGGGUAGACUAGUGGUACAGGGGCUGUUUAGACAGUAAUUAAUGGGGUAGACUAGUGGUCCAGGGGCUGUUUAGACAGUAAUUCAUGGGGUAGACUAGUGGUACAGGGGCUGUUUAGACAGUAAUUAAUGGGGGUAGAGUAGUGGUCCAGGGGCUGUUUAGACAGUAAUUAAUGGGGGUAGACUAUUGGUACAGGGGCUGUUUAGACAGUUAUUAAUGGGGGUAGAGUAGUGGUACAGGGGCUGUUUAGACAGUAAUUAAUGAGGGUAGAGUAGUGGUACAGGGGCUGUUUAGACAGUAAUUAAUGGGGGUAGACUAGUGGUACAGGGGCUGUUUAGACAGUAAUUAAUGGGGGUAGACUAGUGGUCCAGGGGCUGUUUAGACAGUAAUUAAUGGGGGUAGAGUAGUGGUCCAGGGGCUGUUUAGACAGUAAUUAAUGUGGGUAGACUAUUGGUACAGGGGCUCUGUCUGUUUAGACAGUAAUCAAUGUGGGGUAGACUAGUGGUACAGGGGCUGUUUAGACAGUAAUCAAUGGGGGGUAGACUAGUGGUACAGGGGCUGUUUAGACAGUAAUUAAUGGGGGUAGACUAGUGGUACAGGGGCUAUUUAGACAGUAAUUAAUGGGGGUAGACUAGUGGUCCAGGGGCUGUUUAGACAGUAAUUAAUGGGGGUAGAGUAGUGGUCCAGGGGCUGUUUAGACAGUAAUUAAUGUGGGUAGACUAUUGGUACAGGGGCUCUGUCUGUUUAGACAGUAAUCAAUGUGGGGUAGACUAGUGGUACAGGGGCUGUUUAGACAGUAAUCAAUGGGGGGUAGACUAGUGGUACAGGGGCUGUUUAAACAGUAAUUAAUGGGGUAGACUAGUGGUACAGGGGCUGUUUAGACAGUAAUUAAUGGGGGUAGACUAGUGGUACUGGGACUGUUUAGACAGUAAUUAAUGGGGGUAGAGUAGUGGUCCAGGGGCUGUUUAGACAGUAAUUAAUGGGGGUAAACUAGUGGUCCAGGGGCUGUUUAGACAGUAAUUAAUGGGGGUAGACUAGUGGUACAGGGGCUGUUUAGACAGUAAUUAAUGUGGGUAGACUAUUGGUACAGGGGCUCUGUCUGUUUAGACAGUAAUCAAUGUGGGGUAGACUAGUGGUACAGGGGCUGUUUAGACAGUAAUUAAUGUGGGUAGACUAUUGGUACAGGGGCUCUGUCUGUUUAGACAGUAAUCAAUGUGGGGUAGACUAGUGGUACAGGGGCUGUUUAGACAGUAAUUAAUGGGGUAGACUGGUGGUACAGGGGCUGUUUAGACAGUAAUCAAUGGGGGGUAGACUAGUGGUACAGGGGCUGUUUAGACAGUAAUUAAUGGGGUAGACUAGUGGUACAGGGGCUGUUUAGACAGUAAUUAAUGGGGGUAGACUAGUGGUACAGGGGCUGUUUAGAAAGUAAUUAAUGGGGGUAGAGUAGUGGUCCAGGGGCUGUUUAGACAGUAAUUAAUGGGGUAGACUAGUGGUCCAGGGGUUGUUUAGACAGUAAUUAAUGGGGGUAGACUAGUGGUACAGGGGCUGUUUAGACAGUAAUUAAUGGGGUAGACUAGUGGUCCAGGGGCUGUUUAGACAGUAAUUAAUGGGGGUAGACUAGUGGUACAGGGGCUGUUUAGACAGUAAUUAAUGGGGGUAGACUAGUGGUACAGGGGCUGUUUAGACAGUAAUUAAUGGGGGUAGAGUAGUGGUACAGGGGCUGUUUAGACAGUAAUCAAUGUGGGGUAGACUAGUGGUACAGGGGCUGUUUAGACAGUAAUCAAUGGGGGGUAGACUAGUGGUACAGGGGCUGUUUAGACAGUAAUUAAUGGGGUAGACUAGUGGUACAGGGGCUGUUUAGACAGUAAUUAAUGGGGGUAGACUAGUGGUACAGGGGCUGUUUAGACAGUAAUUAAUGUGGGGUAGACUAGUGGUCCAGGGGCUGUUUAGACAGUAAUUAAUGGGGGUAGACUAGUGGUACAGGGGCUGUUUAGACAGUAAUUAAUGGGGGUAGAGUAGUGGUCCAGGGGCUGUUUAGACAGUAUUUAAUGGGGGUAGAGUAGUGGUACAGGGGCUGUUUAGACAGUAAUUAAUGGGGGUAGACUAGUGGUACAGGGGCUGUUUAGACAGUAAUUAAUGGGGGUAGAGUAGUGGUCCAGGGGCUGUUUAGACAGUAAUUAAUGGGGGUAGACUAGUGGUCCUGGGGCUCUGUCUGGGGAUGCUAUUCCUGGACCUUUAAACCCUGUUCUGGCAGAGCUGUACUUCCUAAACCAGAGUGGUCAUGAGGGGUAUUUAGUGCUCUGAAGGCUGCCUUCAGACUGCCAAAGCAUCAACUCAAAGCCCUUAGCCAGCCUUUCAGAAGCUGAUAUAUUAUUUUAUCAUCCCUGGGGGGUGGGGGGGGGGACUCCCAAAUAUGACCCGGGUCACUCACUGUCCCAGACAUGAUUUAAACCUUUAGCUUCAAUGGUUUGUGUAGCAGGAGGAGGCUGGCUCCUUGACCAGAGAGCUUUCAUCAUCUGAUAGGACUGUUGAAUAUGGAUGAGCAUGAUGGGAGAGGGCAUGGGGUUGUGUCUCCACCUAGCUAACUCCUUCAUAGCCUCGUGUGGUACAG
rnacentral:lncRNA from 1 species